rnacentral:RNase_P_RNA from 1 species
CGAGCAGGCCGGACGGUCGCGUGUGUUCCGCGAAAGCGGGCAUAUGAGGAAAGUCCGAGCAUCACAGGGCAAGGAUAACGGCUAACGGCCGCCGGGGGUGACCCUAGGGAAAGUGCAACAGAGAUAUACCGCCUCCUCCGGGAGGUAAGGGUGGAAAGGCGAGGUAAGAGCUCACCGGCGCGCAGGAGACUGCGCGGCCAUGUAAACCCUAUCCGAUGCAACAUCGUGGAGGGACAUACAGCGGCUGCCCGCCGCGUCCCGAGGAGAUGGCUUGAGCCGUGCGGCAACGUACGGUCGAGAUAGAUGAUCGUCCAAGACAGAACUCGGCUUACAGACCUGGUCGCACC